rnacentral:lncRNA from 1 species
ACUAACAUUAUAUCAUAAACUAACUAAUACGAGCUGAUACUAAUGACUAUUAGUUUAUUCACUAACUAUUACAAAUAAGUGAAAUAAAAUUAAACAAUUCCAUCUUCUUUCAUUACAGAUCCAUCACCGUUUAGGUGGUCUAUUUUCCCCUCAGGGUGCUCAAAGAUAUCUGCCACAUUCAAGUGGGUGAUGUCAAAAUUGUCGUCAGAGACAAAAUUUGUUUCAGGGAUUUACUCUUUAGAGAUGCUUGACAAGGCUCAACCAAAUGUCUUGGUACACGGCAA